rnacentral:rRNA from 1 species
UGACCGCUGGCGGCAGGCCUAACACAUGCAAGUCGAACGGUAACAGGAAACAGCUUGCUGUUUCGCUGACGAGUGGCGGACGGGUGAGUAAUGUCUGGGAAACUGCCUGAUGGAGGGGGAUAACUACUGGAAACGGUAGCUAAUACCGCAUAACGUCGCAAGACCAAAGAGGGGGACCCUCGGGCCUCUUGCCAUCGGAUGUGCCCAGAUGGGAUUAGCUUGUUGGUGGGGUAACGGCUCACCAAGGCGACGAUCCCUAGCUGGUCUGAGAGGAUGACCAGCCACACUGGAACUGAGACACGGUCCAGACUCCUACGGGAGGCAGCAGUGGGGAAUAUUGCACAAUGGGCGCAAGCCUGAUGCAGCCAUGCCGCGUGUAUGAAGAAGGCCUUCGGGUUGUAAAGUACUUUCAGCGGGGAGGAAGGGAGUAAAGUUAAUACCUUUGCUCAUUGACGUUACCCGCAGAAGAAGCACCGGCUAACUCCGUG